GUUUCUAUUGCUGCACCUUAGCUGCUCUUCAUUGUUCUCUGGUUCCUGUCUGUGCCCUGGGAGGUCCCUGUUGGGGUCCCAUGGAAGCACGUCUUUCAAAUUUGACUUAGCUACAGGUUCUAUAAAUCUGCUCCUGGAGGCUACCGAUGCCUUUACAUAUACAGGGGACAUGCUGCAACAUGGCUUCCACUAGGAACAAAAGUUCAUUUUGAGAAAAUGCUCAGGUCAUUAGGAUUUGGGUAGAGAAAUAAACA